AAACGGCAAACCGUUUAUUUUAAAAUCUGGCCCAACGGUAACUUUGACAACCGAAACGGUUAACCGUUUAAGGUUAACGGCGAACCGUUUUCUGUCCGAUAGUUUGUAACGGCUAGAUUUUCGGCUCCAAAUAUAAAUAAGCUCAUUCAAAUUCAAAGAAGGCUGAUCACAACACAACCAUUUGAGCUAAUAUUCGAGAAUACAAUCUUCAUAGAGCUUAGAACACAUUCUUGCUUCAUCUAUUCACAUAUUAAGCAUCAUUGUGUAAUCUUAUAUAUUGUGAGAGGCAAAACAAUUUGUAAUCUUUUACUUUGAGUGAUUGUAAGUGUUGGGAUACACUUGGGUUAAGAGAUUGGGGAUAAUCUCUUGUUGUAAAGGUCCAUUGACACCUUGGAAGUCAAGUGUAAGCAUUUGAAGCCUUGGAGGCUUGCUUAGUGGAAUCCUCAAGCCCGGAAAGCUUGGAGGCGUGGACGUAGGCGUGGUUGG
rnacentral:lncRNA from 1 species